GAUGAACGCUGGCGGCGUGCCUAAUACAUGCAAGUCGAGCGAACGGACGAGAAGCUUGCUUCUCUGAGGUUAGCGGCGGACGGGUGAGUAACACGUGGAUAACCUACCUAUAAGACUGGGAUAACUUCGGGAAACCGGAGCUAAUACCGGAUAAUAUUUUGAACCGCAUGGUUCAAAAGUGAAAGACGGUUUUGCCGUCACUUAUAGAUGGAUCCGCGCUGCAUUAGCUAGUUGGUAAGGUAACGGCCUACCAAGGCAACGAUGCAUAGCCGACCUGAGAGGGUGAUCGGCCACACUGGAACUGAGACACGGUCCAGACUCCUACGGGAGGCAGCAGUAGGGAAUCUUCCGCAAUGGGCGAAAGCCUGACGCAGCAACGCCGCGUGAGUGAUGAAGGUCUUCGGAUUGUAAAGCCCUGUUAUUGGGGAAGAACAGAUGUGUAUGUAACUGUGCCCGUCUUGACGGUACCUAAACAGAAAGCCCCGGCUAACUACGUG
rnacentral:rRNA from 1 species